CUGGUUUUAAUAUGGCAAGAAAAAUAAUAGAGUACCUGCAUAUUCAAAAUAGAAAGUCAAGUUCAAGAUCUUUAAGUGGAAAAUUGUCUCACUGGGAGAACAAUCUUAAUUUCCAUUUAAUCCCAAAUAUCUGUUAGUUGUUUAAGUUUGAAAAUAAGCUUGUCAAUUUUGCUGAAAAUAAUACAUUUUAUGUUCUGGUUGGCGAUUCUAAUGUGAGACCAAAGAUAGUCGGCAAUCAAUAUGGAGAAGGCCCAUCCUUUGUGCUUGUCUAUAUCUCAUCUCGUUGAAGAUGUUGAAGCAUGCCUAAAUUUUGGUGGAAUAACAAAAAGUCAGCGUAAAUCAAGUUAAGGAUUCUGAUGGUGUGCAAACAUCAAAGGAACAUCAUUCUAAUAGGAGAAGCAAUAGUGAUCUGCAUCUGGCUUUUAAUGGUGAAGAUAAGACAAAAUCUGCAUCAAUCUGACAGGCCUUUGACAAGGAUGGUGAUGUCGCUUUAAUGGGACUCACCUACAACACAAGGAAAGCCCACAUUAGAUCAUUUGGUGCCCCAUAUGGCAAAGAAGACAACACAGUCAUAUCAAUUGAUGAUUCCUAUGAUAAAGAAGACAUAAAAAUAAUUUCUUUUGAUGGUUUCCCAGAUGAAAAAGGAUGUUAACCCUGUGGGGAGGCCUGACAUAGACUUCAUUCAAUUUUUAUAAUCAAUCUUCAGUUCAUGUGUCAAUACCUUAUGAGAAAGAGAUAGAUGCUUCUAAUGUUGACUAAAUAAAGUUUAAAACCGUGUCCAAGAAUAAGCAAAAGUUCAAAACAACAUGCUUCAACUCAAUUAGUUAUAAGGUGUCGACCUCUUAUACACCACCCUGCACUGGUAAUGGAAUAGUAUUCAUUUUGUUGCAUGAGAAAUAAGAUAUUCAUCGCAAAACAGAAACGAUAAAUAGUGGUACCUGAGCAAUAUGCUUAACAGAGAUCAGUUUAAUCAUUACAAAUGAUGCAUACCAUCCUUGCUUUAGACCAGAAUAUUUCCAAGAGCCCUUCGGCAUCAUCAUCAAUAUAAAAGAGGGUAUCCAUGGGCAGCCCAACAUCAGAACAAAAAGGGAAAUCCAAUCAGGAAUGGACUAUCAGUUAAUAAAAGGCUGUAAAGAGAUGGCAUCAGGAAUGGCCUAUGCUGUUACAGAUUUCAAAUAAAAUCNNNNNNNNNNNNNNNNNNNNNNNNNNNNNNNNNNNNNNNNNNNNNNNNNNNNNNNNNNNNNNNNNNNNNNNNNNNNNNNNNNNNNNNNNNNNNNNNNNNNCAAUUUUUGUCCUACCCAAUUUCGCAGUCUCCUUGCAUCGGUUGACUCAUAAGAAUUUUCCCUGAUCAGUAGACAUUCAAUUUGUUAAGAGUUUAUCAUCUUGUAUGUUCAUUAUUUUUUUUUGUGUGCUCAUCAGACCGAUCAUAAGUCUUGUAAUGUUUAAAGUGCAAGCACGUUACCCAUGAUUAAGUUGAUCUAGGUAAUGAUUUUUAACACAAGCCUUAGACAAAAGAUGUGAAGAUCUUAAAUAUGAUUUUUAUGAAGAACUUGUAAUUCACAGAUUCCCUGAACUUUGUUUUAAAGAUUAGAUUAAGGAAUGAAUUCGUCUCACAGGAUUGUAAGAGUCAAAGCGUGAGUGCUCACAUUUUUAUAUGAAGGACAAUCUAUACCCGUCAAUCCUUGGUCUUAAUAUGGCAAGAAAAAUAAUAGAGUACCUGCAUAUUCAAAAUAGAAAGUCAAGUUCAAGAUCUUUAAGUGGAAAAUUGUCUCACUGGGAGAACAAUCCUAAUUUCCAUUUAAUCCCAAAUAUCUGUCAGUUGUUUAAGUUUGAAAAUAAGCUUGUUAGUUUUGCUGAAAAUAAUACAUUUUAUGUUCUGGUUUGCGAUUCUAAUGUGAGACCAAAGAUAGUCGGCAAUCAAUAUGGAGAAGGCCCAUCCUUUGUGCUUGUCUAUAUCUCAUCUCGUUGAAGAUGUUGAAGCAUGCCUAAAUUUUGGUGGAAUAACAAAAAGUCAGCGUAAAUCAAGUUAAGGAUUCUGAUGGUGUGCAAACAUCAAAGGAACAUCAUUCUAAUAGGAGAAGCAAUAGUGAUCUGCAUCUGGCUUUUAAUGGUGAAGAUAAGACAAAAUCUGCAUCAAUCUGACAGGCCUUUGACAAGGAUGGUGAUGUCGCUUUAAUGGGACUCACCUACAACACAAGGAAAGCCCACAUUAGAUCAUUUGGUGCCCCAUAUGGCAAAGAAGACAACACAGUCAUAUCAAUUGAUGAUUCCUAUGAUAAAGAAGACAUAAAAAUAAUUUCUUUUGAUGGUUUCCCAGAUGAAAAAGGAUGUUAACCCUGUGGGGAGGCCUGACAUAGACUUCAUUCAAUUUUUAUAAUCAAUCUUCAGUUCAUGUGUCAAUACCUUAUGAGAAAGAGAUAGAUGCUUCUAAUGUUGACUAAAUAAAGUUUAAAACCGUGUCCAAGAAUAAGCAAAAGUUCAAAACAACAUGCUUCAACUCAAUUAGUUAUAAGGUGUCGACCUCUUAUACACCACCCUGCACUGGUAAUGGAAUAGUAUCCAGUUUUUUACAUGAGAAAUAAGGUAUUCAUCGCAAAACAGAAACGAUAAAUAGUGGUACCUGAGCAAUAUGCUUAACAGAGAUCAGUUUAAUCAUUACAAAUGAUGCAUACCAUCCUUGCUUUAGACCAGAAUAUUUCCAAGAGCCCUUCGGCAUCAUCAUCAAUAUAAAAGAGGGUAUCCAUGGGCAGCCCAACAUCAGAACAAAAAGGGAAAUCAAUCAGGGAGUUAGGCCAAACACUAGAUAGAGGACAUUAAGCUAAUAAAAGGCUGUAAAGAGAUGGCAUCAGGAAUGGCCUAUGCUGUUACAUAUUUCAAAUAGAAUCAUUAAGCCAAUCCAGCCAUGGACUAUCAGUUAAUAAAAUCUCAUAGGACAGCACUAAGCAGAAGUAAUUCGAAAUUAUUAUCCUCCAGUUACACUUUGAGGCAUUAAUGCAAUGAUAUUAGAGGAAAAUAAAAUGCUAUCGACAGUAAGGGCAUCAAUCAACAAAAUUUCAAAAGGGCUGCACUAAACAGUUACAUUCUGAAGUAAUAACAGAGCAAUAAAGUAUGAAAUUCAAAUCAGUCGGGGGUUACAAAUCAGUGUAGAAAAACAGUAAGGUACUAAGGCAAAGGGAAAUACAAUCAGCCGUGAAUAAUAUCCAGAGAGCAGUUUAGAGCAUUAAUAUUUUAAUUACGGUCAUCAUUAGCAAAUUAUAAAUAGCUCGACAGUUAUCACAUAGUCCUAAUCAGCAUUCAUGGGCAGUUAAAGUAUUGAAAUCAGAAAGCAAAAUUCAUGGGAUUUCAAAAGGGGCAGUUUCAGUCAGUAACUCAAAAAAAGCAAAAAAAGCAAAAGAGAAAGAAUACAAAAAAGAAAGAAAAGCAUUGCAACAGUGAUAAAAAGAGAACAAAUCAGAAAAAUUAGAGAGGAUAACAAGUGAAAAACAUGGAGCAUUCUAGAGAGAAAGGCAGAAAUAUAAACAGAGAGACUGACAUUCAAGCAAAGUCAA
rnacentral:lncRNA from 1 species